rnacentral:rRNA from 1 species
UUUAACUGAGCGUUCAGUUACUUGACGUAGACCCGAAACCGGGCGACCUACCCAUGAGCAGGAUGAAGCGAAAGUAAAAUUUCGUGGAGGUCCGAACCCACGAGCGUUGAAAAGCUCGGGGAUGACUUGUGGGUAGCGGUGAAAUUCCAAUCGAGCCCGGAGAUAGCUGGUUCUCCCCGAAAUAGCUUUAGGGCUAGCCUCAAGGUGAGAGAUACGGAGGUAGAGCACUGAAUGUCCUAGGGGGUAUUGCACCUACCGAAGACUAUCAAACUCCGAAUGCCGUCAUCUUAUACUUGGGAGUCAGACUGUGGGUGAUAAGAUUCAUAGUCGAAAGGGCAACAGCCCAGAUCGUCAGCUAAGGUCCCUAAAUGUAAGUUAAGUGGUAAAGGAUGUGGGAUUGCACAGACAACCAGGAUGUUGGCUUAGAAGCAGCCACUCAUUCAAAGAGUGCGUAAUAGCUCACUGGUCGAGUGAUCCUGCGCCGAAGAUUUCCGGGGCUAAAACUUACUACCGAAGCUACGGCAUCAGUAAUGAUGGGUAGGGGAGCUUCCCAUACGGGUUGAAGCAUGACCGUAAGGACAUGUGGACAGUAUGGGAGUGAGAAUGUUGGCAUGAGUAGCGAGAUGUGGGUGAGAAUCCCACAGGCCGUAAACCCAAGGUUUCCAGGGGAAGGUUCGUCCGCCCUGGGUUAGUCGGGACCUAAGCUGAGGCCGAAAGGCGUAGGUGA